AUACGUAGGGGGCGAGCGUUGUCCGGAAUGAUUGGGCGUAAAGGGCGCGUAGGCGGCCUGUUAAGUCUGGAGUGAAAGUCCUGUCUUCAAGAUGGGAAUUGCUUUGGAUACUGAUGGGCUUGAGUGCAGGAGAGGUUAUCGGAAUUCCCGGUGUAGCGGUGAAAUGCGUAGAGAUCGGGAGGAACACCAGUGGCGAAGGCGGGUAACUGGACUGCAACUGACGCUGAGGCGCGAAAGUGUGGGGAGCAAACAGGAUUAGAUACCCUGGUAGUCCACACUGUAAACGAUGAAUGCUAGGUGUAAGAGGUAUCGACCCCUUUUGUGCCGGAGUUAACACAAUAAGCAUUCCGCCUGGGGAGUACGGCCGCAAGGUUGAAACUCAAAGGAAUUGACGGGG
rnacentral:rRNA from 1 species